AGGAUAGUAGUUAAACAUAACAUUUGAGUUGCAUUCAAAAAGUAUUGACACCUUUCAAUCUAUCUU
rnacentral:tRNA from 1 species